rnacentral:piRNA from 1 species
GAAAAGUCAUUUUCCGUAAGUGAGGC